rnacentral:rRNA from 1 species
UGUCGUCAGCUCGUGUUGUGAAAUGUUGGGUUAAGUCCCGCAACGAGCGCAACCCUUAUCCUUUGUUGCCAGCGGUCCGGCCGGGAACUCAAAGGAGACUGCCAGUGAUAAACUGGAGGAAGGUGGGGAUGACGUCAAGUCAUCAUGGCCCUUACGACCAGGGCUACACACGUGCUACAAUGGCGCAUACAAAGAGAAGCGACCUCGCGAGAGCAAGCGGACCUCAUAAAGUGCGUCGUAGUCCGGAUUGGAGUCUGCAACUCGACUCCAUGAAGUCGGAAUCGCUAGUAAUCGUGGAUCAGAAUGCCACGGUGAAUACGUUCCCGGGCCUUGUACACACCGCCCGUCACACCAUGGGAGUGGGUUGCAAAAGAAGUAGGUAGCUUAACC